rnacentral:rRNA from 1 species
AUGAAAAACGCAGCUAGCUGCGUUAUUUACCACGAAUUGCAGACGCUUAGAGUGGUGAAAUUUUGAACGCAUAGCGCCGUUGGGUUUUCCCUUCGGCACGUCUGGUUCAGGGUUGUU